CUCCAACGAGAUCAGGGCAUCCCGCUGCUGCAGAAAUAUGAAGUAAUACUCGCUGCCAUCGUUCCGGGAGGUAUACAAUCUAUAUAGCCGAAAUCCACGGAAUGUAAAGACAAUCAUAUUGAAGGAAAUACUAUGUACAUACAUUGCUAUCAGCAACUAAAGGGGUUUGCCCUUGUUGGUGAUUCGAACCGUCACGUACAGCAAUGCUUGGAGCGAAUCGACCAG